rnacentral:tRNA from 1 species
UCUUGGUGGCUUAGAUGGUAAAAUGCCUGCCUGCAAUGCAGGAGACCAGGGUUCGAUCCCUGGAUUGGGAA